UACGUAGGGGCCUAGCGUUGUCCGGAUUUAUUGGGCGUAAAGAGCUCGUAGGCGGCACGGUUAGUCAGGUGUGAAAUCUCCACGCUCAACGUGGAGGGGUCACCUGAUACUGCCGAGCUUGAGUCCGGUAGGGGAGUGCGGAAUUCCCGGUGUAGCGGUGAAAUGCGCAGAUAUCGGGAGGAACACCAGUGGCGAAGGCGGCUUCCUGGCCUGUUCUUGACGCUGAGGCGCGAAAGCUAGGGGAGCAAACGGG
rnacentral:rRNA from 1 species